rnacentral:rRNA from 1 species
AUCAGUAGCUGGUCUGAGAGGAUGAUCAGCCACACUGGGACUGAGACACGGCCCAGACUCCUACGGGAGGCAGCAGUGGGGAAUAUUGGACAAUGGGCGCAAGCCUGAUCCAGCCAUGCCGCGUGAGUGAUGAAGGCCUUAGGGUUGUAAAGCUCUUUUAUCCGGGACGAUAAUGACGGUACCGGAGGAAUAAGCCCCGGCUAACUUCGUGCCAGCAGCCGCGGUAAUACGAAGGGGGCUAGCGUUGCUCGGAAUCACUGGGCGUAAAGGGCGCGUAGGCGGUCUUUUAAGUCGGGGGUGAAAGCCUGUGGCUCAACCACAGAAUUGCCUUCGAUACUGGGAGACUUGAGUUCGGAAGAGGUUGGUGGAACUGCGAGUGUAGAGGUGAAAUUCGUAGAUAUUCGCAAGAACACCGGUGGCGAAGGCGGCCAACUGGUCCGACACUGACGCUGAGGCGCGAAAGCGUGGGGAGCAAA